rnacentral:sRNA from 1 species
GAGUAGGUGCACAUUGCCUGGUUACAGGCUC